rnacentral:siRNA from 1 species
CAUGCAAACGAACGGCUGGCA